rnacentral:misc_RNA from 1 species
AACGGUCUAUACCUGCGGUACCUGCGGAGGGAUCAUUAUCAAUUUACAGCGGACUUCGGUCCUGUCUGCACCCUUGUCUUUUGCGUACUAUAUGUUUCCUCGGUGGGCUUGCCUGCCGAUAGGACACCUAUAAACUCUUUUGUAAUUGCAAUCAGCGUCAGAAAACUAUAAUAGUUACAACUUUCAGCAACGGAUCUCU